rnacentral:rRNA from 1 species
GACGAACGCUGGCGGCGUGCUUAACACAUGCAAGUCGAACGGAAAGGCCCUGCGUUUGUGGGGUUCUCGAGAGGCGAACGGGUGAGUAACACGUGAGUAACCUGCCCUUGACUUUGGGAGAACUUCAGGGAACUGCGGCGAAUACCGGGUAGAAGCUCCUGCUGCACGGUGGUGGAUGGAAAGUGUCGGCGGUUGGGGCUGGACUCGCGGCUUAUCGGCUGGUUGGGGGGGUAGGGGCGUACAAAGUCUAUGAAGGGUAGCCGGCCUGAGAGAGUGGCCGGCCACCUUGGGACUGAGGUACGGCGCAGUCUCCUACGGGACGCAGCGGUGGGGAACCUUGCACAGUGGGCGGACGCCUGUUGCAGCAACGCCGCGUGCGGGAUGCCGUCCUUCGGGUUGUAAACCGCUUUCGCCUGUGCCAAAGCGUUCGUGACGGUAACGGGUAAAGAAGCACCGGCUAACUACGUG